rnacentral:lncRNA from 1 species
GAAAACUUUCCUAGUCUGGUUCACACACCCAAUCGAACCUUUUUGUUUUUCAGCGUACUCAGGGACCUCCAUUUCUAGGUAUAUUUCCUCUAUUCUUUUUAGAGCUUCUGUUGCAAGAAGAUGUGCAAGAGUAUUUGUAGAUCUCGGUGUAUGUUUGAAUCUGAUAUUCUUAGAACUAUUUAUCUUCUGUUGGAUAUCAUAUAUAUAUGCCACUACCAAUGAUCGAUCUUGACCCUUUGUGUUGCAUUUCUUUAUUAUUGCGAGGGAAUCUCCUUUGAAGAUGAUUGACUGCCAUCCCUUUUCGACUCCUAUUUGAACUACUUUCCAACAGGCUAUUCUUCAGUAGCAAAUGCAGAGGUUAUGCCAUUAUGGAUCUUUGAGCAGGAUAAAAGAACUUUUCCUUCUGCAUCUCUAACCACAAUACCUGAAGUCGAAUGAUUUUGACUCCCGUUGUAUGCACUAUCGAAGUUAAUCUUGAUGAACUCAUAAGGUGGGUGUCUCUAUCUUCUGUUUUUUGUUAUUUUUACUGAUUUUUUUUUCAAAACCAGUAAGUUCAGUAAUGUAGUUACUUGUUGCGACGUAAAAAAAAAUUAGUUUCGCUUGGUCGCUAAUUGUGGCGAUUUAUUAAACAUUUGAAAACCAACUUUUGAUUUUAUUAGCAAAGGGAGCCGCCACCGAUCCUUUUUUAUAGGUGUGAUCGGACACCUAAUAAAAUUAUUUUAAAACAAAAAGAAGGCCAAAUUUAGGUCUACGUGAAAGUUCAGAAAAAAAUUGGGGUUCGGGAGUCAGUUACGCGCGAGGAAGGUAUUAGCACCCUCGCGACGCCCAAAAUUGGUAUCUCAUAAACAUUUGUUGACUUGAUUUUUAAAAAUACGAGUUCAAUAUAAUAUUUAAUCGUGAUCCGAUUGAAAAAUGAGAAUUUUUAGUUUUCGAUUUUUUUUAGAAAGGGUGUCCCGUUUUUUAACACAAGCCGAUGAAUUUCACCCAACAUAGCGAUGAAAUCGAUGGCUUAAUAUUAAAUCGGUACAUUGCCUCAUUUUUGAAAUUAAUUAAAACAUGAGAAAAAAUAUUCCUAAAGUGAGAAAUUAAAAAUAGAUAAAGGACGCAAAAAAAAUGAUAUCAUUAAUGAAAAAUAUUAACAUGGAAUACUAGAAUAUUAGAAUAACAAUAAUAAUGAUAUUUACAAAAUAAAAACAAAUCAUGUACUAAUAAUAAAAUAGGAAAAAUGAUAUAUUUGGUAAUAAUAAUAUAAAAUAAUAAUAUGUACAUAAAAAUACAUAUAUAUAUAUAUGCAUAUAAUAAAAGUAUGUAAUAAUAAUAAUAUCUACAAUAAAAGAAAAUAUUAGGAAACGUACAUAAAAAAUAUAUACACUAAUAUAAUAAUAUUUAUAAUAAUACUAGCAAUAGUAAUAAUUUGUAAUAAUAAUAUAUACACAAUAUGGUAUUUAAAAUAUAUAUAUGUAUAUAAUAGUAUUUAAGAAUAUAUACAUAAGAAAUAUAUAACUAAUGGCAUUAAAAAAUAUAUACAUAAUAUAUAUAAAAUACCUAAAAAAAAGAAGGGGGAAAGAAGAGAGAAGGGAGGGGGGAAAGGAAAUCCGACCAAGGGGGGCCGGUCACCGGUCGAUCGUCGGUCGCCGCCCGUCGUCGGCCACCACCGGCCACCGUGGGCGGUAAAAUUUUUUUAACAAUAUAUGUAUAUAUAAAGAAAGAAAAAAAACAACACAAAAAAAAAGAAAAAAAGAUUCGAAAGAAGAGGAAAAAGGAAAAAGAUGCAACCUUUUUAUUGAUGUUUCUUUUGUGUUCAAAAUUUGAAGGGAUUUUUGUAUUUUUUUUUCAAUCUUUGUAAAAUCCCCCUUACAUGAUUUUGAAUGGCUUUUUAUAGCCAUCUUUUACAUGAUUUUCUAUUAUUUCUUUUUCUAUUUUGUAGGUGGUGGUGGUAGACAAUGGAUAUCAAAAAUGGGAGGAAAAAUGGGGCAA